CCCAGAUAUUUUGGGCCGCACGCGCGCUACACUGACAGAGCCAGCGAGUUUUUUUCCUUGGCCGAAAGGCCUGGGUAAUCUUGUGAAACUCUGUCGUGCUGGGGAUAGAGCAUUGCAAUUAUUGCUCUUCAACGAGGAAUUCCUAGUAAGCGCGAGUCAUCAGCUCGCGUUGAUUACGUCCCUGCCCCUUACCACCCGCCC
rnacentral:rRNA from 1 species